UAGAGUUUGAUCAUGGCUCAGAUUGAACGCUGGCGGAAUGCUUUACACAUGCAAGUCGAGCGGCAGCGCGGGGCAACCUGGCGGCGAGCGGCGAACGGGUGAGUAAUGCAUCGGAACAUGUCCAUGUCGUGGGGGAUAGCCCGGCGAAAGCCGGAUUAAUACCGCAUACGCUCGAGAGAGGAAAGCCGGGGACCGCAAGGCCUGGCGCGAUUGGGUUGGCCGAUGUCCGAUUAGCUAGUUGGUGAGGUAAAGGCUUACCAAGGCGAUGAUCGGUAGCUGGUCUGAGAGGAUGAUCAGCCACACUGGGACUGAGACACGGCCCAGACUCCUACGGGAGGCAGCAGUGGGGAAUUUUGGACAAUGGGGGCAACCCUGAUCCAACCAUUCCGCGUGAGUGAAGAAGGCCUUCGGGUUGUAAAGCUCUUUUGUCCGGAGCGAAACGGGCGCAAAGGAUAUCCGCGUU
rnacentral:rRNA from 1 species